UUUUGUUCUUCGAAAAGCCAAUCAUGCGAAGCGACGAAGUCGUGACUUGUAAAUUUAGCCUGUCAACUUUAUGUUUGUAUAAGUAUCUCAUUGAUUUCAUAGUCAGUGACGGAUCAGAUGUUCACCUGUUUUCAUUUUCGAACAUCAGUUGUGUCUUGAACUUGAGGAAGGAAAGUCAGAAGAUUCGAGUGCGAACAAGGAAACUAUAACCGCGUUGAUACCCUGAGAAUUAUCACAUGAAGCGAGCGUGACAGUUGCGGCAAAAAAAAUGAGGCAAGCUACGAUCAUCCUCCUGUGCGUCACAGCCAUUUGCAGUUACUACAGAACUCAAAUCAACGCACAAAAUUGUAUUGAGUGCGAAAGCAAGACUCUAUUUUGCCGAGAUAAGAAGAAAAAUUCUCUGAAAGAGCUCUUAGCAGAUGUAAACGACACAUUUAUCUCGACAGUUAGACGGUUGGUUGUGGAUAAGAAUAAUAUCUUGCUUUCUAAAGAAGAUCUUAAAAUACUGGUAAAAAAAUUCUCUUCCCUGCAUUUCUUAGAUUUGCGAGGUAAUUCAAUACCAGACUUGGAAGCGUUCUCUAGUAAUUUGAGUACGCUUAAGGAACUGGAAGAAAUUGAUUUCGAAUCGAAUAAAAUAAAAGAGAUACCAGAUGAUAUUUUAAAGAAAAUGCCGAACCUUACAGUGUUGAAGUUAAGCCGCAAUAGUAUAGAAAAAAUUCCAGAAAAGCUGUUGGAGAACAACACAGAACUGAAAGCCCUCGUCCUUUCCAACAACAAAAUCAAGAAGAUUGAAGCUAAUGACAUUAAAGAUGGCAAUAAACUGGAAGCAUUAUUGGUCAAUGGUAACCCUCUCGAGGAUUUAGACUGGCCGGUGAUCAAAAAAAUGAAGAACCUCAAAGCAUUGAAUAUUCGUAAUCUCAAAGCAUCCAAUGCUGAAGGUUUUAGUUUUAUUCUGAAUCCCAGGAUAUUUUAUGAAAACACGCAACUGAAAUUCAUAUUCACGAGUGUGUAUGCUGAUUGUUGUAAUAUCAAACGUAUGGAGAAUACGACAAAGAGAAAAUAUGGUAAAAUUAAUAAAGAGUGGGUUUGUCAAUUCAGGAACAACGACCUUGAAGUCAAGGAAGAAUGUGCUGUAAGGAUUAGCUCCGGGGAUCUGGAGGAUACGUAUCAGGGACAUGUGGAAGUUAAUAAGAAAGGAAAAGGCGUUUGGGAAAAAUUGAAGAGCACCAAUUGGACUAUGGAAGAUGCAAAUGUCGUUUGCAGAGAAGUGGGAUAUGAUCUUGCGUUAGAAUUCACAACUGCUUAUCAUUACGAGUUAAGAAAAAGCCAGGAUCCCAAAAUUUAUCCUGAAAAUAUUCCGGGUUCCCACAUGUGGAACAGAGCAUGCAAUGGCUCUGAAUACUCAAUUUUGCGGUGUCAAAAGAGAGACGGUGGCUCACACCUUUUUCCCGAUGCCGGUGUUGGCGUCAGAUGCAAAUCUCCCGACGAAAGGAUAGAUAAAAUGUGCACUGAAAAGAAUGCAACUCGGGCGUUCGAUUGUAUCAAGGAGGACAACAAGAAGCUUAAAAAUUUACCAUGGCAGGAUAAGAAUGAUACAAAAUGCAAAAUGAUAGAUCUCAGGGGAAAUGAAAUCAGAUGGAUACAAGACACUACUUCUCUAAAACACUUUAAGAGCCUGGAGACAUUGUACUUAUCCGGAAAUGGUUUAGCAUGGCUUCACGAUGGCGUUUUUGAAAUAAAAAGUUUGAUUACAUUGGAUUUAAGUAACAAUAACUUGAAAUUCAUCAUAGGCGAACUGAAGAAUGCUCAACUUAAAAAGCAAGACUGGUUCAAAGGUUUAAAUAACCUGCAAAGUUUGGACAUUUCUUCAAAUCAACUUACAAGUUGGCCCAGCAACGUCUUCCUACCUCUAAAAAGCAUACAAAACAUAUUGUUUCAAGUGUCAUGCGCCCGAUACACAUAUACACCCGUUCUUCUAGGUCGAUGAAAAACAACAGGUUUAAGGAGUUUCAUAACAGAUUCUUUGAACAUUUAGGAUCACUGCAGCGGCUGGACAUUUCAACCAAUCCUGGU
rnacentral:misc_RNA from 1 species